rnacentral:tRNA from 1 species
GGUAGUGGUUCAAUGGUAGAACGUCACCCUCCCACGGUGAAGACGGGGGUUCGAUUCCCCUCUA